GCCCAUUUGAAAGGAAAAUGAGAGAGUAAGGGAGCAGUUUCAUACCAAAACGUGUUCAGAUCACCAAGCCUCUCACUCUUCAACCUUGGCCUGAGAAACCUUCAUCCGCCGCGUCGGGAUUCGCCUCUGGCAGCGGCGGAGGGCCAAACCCUACAAAACCUACAUCUCUGAACUCGUCUCAAUGUCCUCUAUUAGAAUCCAUUCUCAAUUUCAUCUAAUUCCUAACCAAACAACCAAACCAAAAUGAAAUGCUCAAGAACCCUAAAACCUAAAUCAUAAAUUAAAUUCUCAAAUGGAGGAGUCAAAGCCUCUAGUAUUAGGCCUUUUAUUCCUCAGCUCAAACCCUACAUAGCGGUAACGAAUUAAGGGUGAAAUGAAUAAGAAACACUUACCUUCGAAGAUAAGGAAUUCCGGUAAUGUUUGCAACAUAAUUGAUGGAUAAAGAUUGAAGAUGCUCAGAAUGAGAGGAUUGAGCAAAGGCCUUCAAGAUGCUACUCAUGUGACUUGAAUUUUAAGAAACAUAAAUCAUUGACAACAUCAAAUAUCAAGAGGAAAAUGAAGGCUUUGAGGACUCAAGCAAAUAUAUGACUUGCGGGAAAAGUAGAAUAAGAAUUAAGGUUAGGAUAGCUAGAAUUUAGUCAGUUGACUGUAGUCAACUAGUUGACCAAAAGUCAGCAUAAGCCAAAAAUGUGUUUUUUUAAUAGAAUAGGAUUUUUUGUAAGGAUUUUGUGAUGUAAUGCUUGGAGGGUUUUUGAAAUGAAGAUGGGUUUAUGAA